GCUUCGUUGCAAACGGCACAGUUUAACAAAAUAUACCAAUCGGUUAUGUAGUUGACGUUGACACAACCAAGAACAUUGCUUGAAGUAAGCUCGAAGCUUCAUUUUGCUUUCCACUCCUCUUUCUAAAAGAAUGAUAAAAAUAACAACCAUCAAUUGUUAUAUCUAUAUCUUGUUCUGGAUAUACUUGAAUCUAAAGUGGGAAACAGAUAAGAUACCGUUUACACACACAUGACAGCAAAAAGGAAAGAAAAGGAAGGAUAACUUAGAAGGUAUUGGUAGCAUAUCUACUACACCUUAAAAGAAAGACAAGAAAUCACUAUUCCUAAGAGAACUUCCAAUCUGGGUCAUUUAUUUGACUCUCUCUCCAUUUUCACUCUUAAAUCCUGGCCCUUCAUCUGUGAGACUUUUUUCCCCUCUAUUCUACUCAAGCUCCUGUAUGACGUCACAGAACGCGUUGAUGGAGUAUGGGAUGAAGGAGAUGAGUGUCUCCAUGGUUUGAUUUGGUGGGUAAUCGUCAUCCCUGCAGGCCCUGUCUCUGUAGCCUAUCACACAUCAUCGUGUUAGGUUUUCCUCUCUUCCCCCUUUCAGCGACGUCUGCACAACACAUGAGGAAGGAGGAACAGAAGAACUGGGUUGAGUUAUGUUAGACUUUGAUGGAGAUUAGACAAUGGAGGAAGGAGAAAGCAAGGAGAAGGACAAGAGAUGAUGAUGGAAAGUACAAAAUUUUCAGAAUCCGAUUCAGAGGGAGAAGAGAAGAUGGUGGUUGUCAAUGGUUAGGUGAGGCAGCUCAGAUGACAGGAUAGAUCAUCCCGAUUUUUGAAGGAAGAGUGAAGAAGAGGGAAAGAAGGACUGCUGUCAGAUGAGGAUCAGUAGCAACAGAGAAGAUGAUGCACUAUUUUGUCAUCGUUGUAUCACAUCAGGUAUAAGAAAGGAGGUUCAGCUCAAAGAAGCAGCAAAGCAGAAUGUGGAUACUGAGGUACUGGAGAACUGGAAAGGCUGAAGCAACAGAGAAGAAUUUGAAGAGUAAAUCUUCCAAUUCAUCCACUGAGCAAGACUUCGAUUCAUUUCUUCUUGGAGAUCUUGAAGACAAUGAUGGAGGUCCAGGUUUCUUUGCACCUCUUAUCUGUGUUGUUGGACUUGAUUUUGCUACUCACUUGGGAAGAUGAUGGAUUGAGAUGGAGUGUUGUCAGGUGUGGAUCAGAAGAAACAGAGAAGAUGAUGGACUCUUUCGUCAUUGAUUUCUGCCUUGUCCUCGUCAGAUCACAUCAGAUUGCUAUGUUUAUUUGAGCUUAGAGGCCGCAGAUAAGAUAAGAGGUUGCAACAGGUAAUAUUAUCCAAUUAAUGUUUGUUAGCUUUCAAUUUGCCCCACCAUGUAUCACUUGAUUGGUAUCACUUCCUGAUAUGUUGAACAUAGGUGCUACUGUUGCUGUCGAAUAAUCAAGAUGGGAGGUACUUGAGUAAUAUAGGCAGGAAGAAGGUGGAUCCAUAUGAGAUUAGUGACUUGUGGAGUUGGGCCUAUAGUGGAUAAUCUAUACGCACAAGGGUAACAUUUCCCUUGGAUCUUGUGAGGCGGCGGAAGCAGCUUGAAGGGGCUGGUGGGCGAGCCCGAGUGUGUAAUGCAGGCAUGACAAAUUUCUUGGAGAUAAACCAAAGGGUGGAGAGAUUGGCUGAAUCAAGUGACUGCAGUGAGUACUGAAUGCAGUGAAUCCAGAUCCCAGAUGGAUGAGAUAAACUUUCUUUUAUCAAGACAUAUGUUUGUAAGCACCAUUGUCCAAGCUCUUUAUUUUUCAUAUGUUAAAAUCUGAAUCAUGUAUUAGACUAUUCCUUUUCUCAUCAACCGUGUGUGUAUUUUUACUGUGGAUGAGCCCUAUGUUUCAUCAGGUGCUGAUUCUUUAUCACACAUGAGGUUUUAGAUGAUGAAAUCUGCACAAUAAGAGAUGUUUAAACGGGUGAAUCAGUCAAAAUCUUGAUUAACCCUUUCUGCUCAUCUACAUUGUUUAAAUUUUCAUUGUUAAUGGCUUUUUAUUAUCUUUCUAAAAUAGCAUUCAACCAUUCACCA